UUUCAAGCCCUGCUACACAUCCUGGUCCUGCAUGUUCACACAACUUAAAUUGCCUGCAGCUUGACUCAUACAGCAGCUUUAAUAAGAAUUAGGCUGCAGCUCGUUACUCCUCCUUCGUACUUCCGGUUAGAUGAACAACUUCCGCUGACGUAUUUUGAAAGCUUGGCGGUUGAGAAGUUGUUGUUUUUUUGUAACGUGCGUGUUGUUUAGCGCUGGCCGACGGAUUGUGGUUUAUUUAUUAUUUUUAAAAAGCUUGAGUUUAUAUUAAAUAAGGGGGGAAAGAUGGACCCAGCAACUGUGACGCUUCUCGUUGGACUCGCUGUUAAAAUUAGCCGCAGUGACGGAAGAGUUCACAACGCAACAGUGAAAACAGUCAAUACUACCAAGUCGACUGUGCAUGUGGAGUGGAACGAGAAAGAAGUGAAUAAAGGAAAAGAGAUUGACCUGAGUGAGAUCUGUCGUCUCAAUGCGGACCUGGUUGAAUACCUGCAGUCAUCGAAUCAAGCAGGACCUUCCUCUGCGCCAGCCCUGAACCCUGCACGGGCACCUAAAGCAGAGAAGAAAUCGGAGCACCCUACGAAGGUGUCAAAGAUACCUGCCCCUUCAGAGUUCCCCAGAAGGAUGACCACUCGCCAGACGUGUCUGUUUCGACCACCAACCGUUCCAUCCACUAGCUUGACUCCUGCUGAUGAUGCUCCCAGUCAGGAGCAGCCCUCAUCCACUAUUCCUAGAUCUUCAGGGUUACCAAGUUAUACGAGAAAACAACUUUCUAAACCCCCUUCUCCUCUUCUACCUGCUAUUGAAGCCGUGUCAGAAAGUGAGGCCUCAAAGUGUGCUCCUGCACCCACUGCAAACCCUCGCCUUUCACGAGUUCCAGAAGUACAUAAAACGACAACCAAAAGGCUGUCCGUGUCGACUAAAAACCCGGAAGCCCAGACCAAGAAAGGAAAGUUCGGAGAUCUGAAUCGUCCCAACAAGCAGUUUUACCUGAUGAUCGAAGAGUAUCGGGAGACUGUAGAGAAAGUUCCGCUGUCUUUGAGCGAUCCUGUUGAGCUUCACAGAAUCUGUGUGUGUGUUCGCAAGCGGCCACUAAAUAAAAAAGAAAUGGCUAAGAAAGAGAUUGACGUGGUGACGAUCCCUGGAAACGGAGUCCUCCUGUUCCAUGAACCCAAGCAGAAAGUCGAUCUCACCAAGUACCUUGACAACCAGCCCUUCCACUUUGAUUACUCGUUUGACGAAGAUGCCAGCAACGACUUGGUUUACAGGUUCACUGCCAGGCCUCUGGUUAAGACUAUUUUUGAGGGUGGAAGGGCAACAUGCUUUGCAUAUGGUCAAACUGGGAGUGGAAAGACGCAUACGAUGGGCGGAGACUUCUCAGGAAAGGCUCAAAACAGCUCUAAAGGAAUCUAUGCCUUGGCAGCACAGGAUGUGUUUACCCUUCUGCAGCAGAAGAGAUAUGCUGACCUGUGCCCAUACGUGACCUUUUUUGAGAUCUACAAUGGCAAGGUCUUUGACUUGCUGAAUAAGAAGGCAAAACUGCGCGUGCUAGAGGAUGAAAACCAGCAGGUGCAGGUCGUUGGCCUUCAGGAAAUGCCUGUCUCGUCUGUUGAAGAUGUUAUAAAGAUGAUUGAGAAGGGGAGUGCAUGCAGAACAUCUGGCCAGACGUUUGCCAACGCCAACUCGUCCCGUUCCCAUGCCAUCCUGCAGGUUAUCUUGAGGCGGCACAAGCUGCUUCAUGGUAAGUUCUCUCUGGUGGACCUGGCAGGGAACGAGCGGGGCACAGAUGUCAGCAGCAAUGACCGGCAGACUAUGAUUGAGACCGCCGAGAUCAAUCGCAGUCUUCUAGCACUGAAGGAAUGCAUCCGAUCCCUGGGGCAGAACAGUGAACACAUCCCUUUCCGGAUGAGUAAGCUCACCCAGGUGCUCCGAGACUCCUUCAUAGGCGAGAACUCCAGAACCUGCAUGAUUGCUAUGAUCUCACCUGGUAUGACCUCUUGUGAUUACACUCUGAACACGCUGCGUUAUGCAGACAGGGUGAAAGAGUUGAAUGGAUUGUCUAAGGGAGCUGCGCCGAACACUAAGCUGACAGAGGAGUCCGAGGAGGGCAGCAGUUUCUUAGAGGAGGCGAGUGAAGCUUUGCAGAGCCUCACGUGUACAGAGUAGAGGCGUUCACAUCUUUCAGAUAAACUUCUAGAAAAGCCCUUAUGUCUGAAAUCAUGUGCGCUUUUUGAGUAAAACAUGACUUUUAUUCACGUUUUGUUUCUGACCACUUACCAUUCAGGAAGGUAUUCCUGCUGAACUUGAAGUCAUGGCCCAGGUCUCUGAGCUGGAGGAGAAGUUCUAUGAAGUUCUGCAGGGUGCCAACGAAAUUGCCCGAGCGAUGGAGCACCCGUCAUAUGACCUUGUGAGCGGUCUACCGGAGAUCGACGCAUACAUGGAGAGAAUUCAAGGAACUUUCCAUGCUCUGCGAUCAGCUGUUGAGGUGCUAAAAGCCAAGUCACCCAAUCUGGCAUGACCUGCAAAUGGGGUGGAAAAACCAAAUCAAAUAAUUUGGUUCUGAUGCUGACUGCUAAUGUCCUGUGUUCAGCAUGUUCUCUCUUUUGGUUUAAUUCCAGUUUGUUUGGAUGUUUAUACGUGUCGUGUUCUCGUAUUAUCAACCUUCUUAUUCACUGAAUAAAUGUUUACCUAUGACCGGU